AUUGAACGCUGGCGGCAUGCUCUACACAUGCAAGUCGAACGGUAACAGGCCGCAAGGUGCUGACGAGUGGCGAACGGGUGAGUAAUUCAUCGGAACGUGCCCAGCCGUGGGGGAUAACUACUCGUAAGAGUAGCUAAUACCGCAUACGAUCUAUGGAUGAGAGCGGGGGACCGUAAGGCAUCGCGCGAUUGGAGCGGCAGAUGUCGGAUUAGGAAGUUGGUGGGGUAAAGGCUCACCAAGCCAACGAUCUGUAGCUGGUCUGAGAGGACGACCAGCCACACUGGGAGUGAGACCCGGCCCAGACUCCUAGGGGAGGGAGCAGGGGGGAAUUUUGGACAAUGGGUGGAAGCCUGAUCCAGAAAGGCCGCGUGCGGGAAGAGGGCCUUCGGGUUGUAAACGGCUUUUGUAGGGAAGGAAACGGCUCUGGUUAAUACCGGGGGGUAAGGACGGUACCGGAAGAAUAAGCCCCGGCUAACUUCGUG
rnacentral:rRNA from 1 species